rnacentral:lncRNA from 1 species
UGUGUGUGUGUGUGUGUGUGUGUGUGUCUAGGAAAGAGGCUCCAACAGGAAGAGGGAUUUGGAACAAGGCUUUAUGCAGAUAAAACCAACUACAGAGCUGGGCCACUUUUCAGGGAGCUUGGGAUUUUUCUUAUAUAGAAGACAAUUCCAGAUGGAAACAUAAGCCUUUUCUUGACUCAGCUGUUGCUCUCCUUACAGGGGCCUCAGAGUCUGAUCACCCAGCACAGAGACUUCUCAGGACGUGCCACAUCAAGACUUCCCCCUCCUGUGUCCAUCAACUUCUGUGCCUGGUGGUGAGGAGACUUGUGAUUCUAUCCAGGAAGAAUAAAUCAUGUUGGCUUGCAAUGACUCCUCUCUGGACCUUUUGGUAUGAACUUGAUGCUCAGUCAGUACGCAAUAAGAAGUUGGUGUUAGUAUGGGAGAACAUGCUUCUAUCUUAGUUCCUUUACUUACUCUCCAGGUAAUCUUGGGCAAGCACCUUAACUUCUCUAGACCUCAAUUUCCUGUUUCUGAAAAACAGCAGGAGCAAG